rnacentral:rRNA from 1 species
AUUGAACGCUGGCGGCAGGCCUAACACAUGCAAGUCGAACGAGUGGCGGACGGGUGAGUAAUGUCUGGGAAACUGCCUGAUGGAGGGGGAUAACUACUGGAAAAGGUAGCUAAAACCGCAUACCAUCGGAUGUGCCCAGAUGGGAUUAGGUAGUAGGUGGGGUAAAGGCUCACCUAGGCGACGAUCCCUAGCUGGUCUGAGAGGAUGACCAGCCAAACUGGAACUGAGACACGGCCCGGACUCCUACGGGAGGAAGCAGUGGGGAAUAUUGCACAAUGGCGGCAAGCCUGAUGAAGCCCGGCCGCGUGUAUGAAGAAGGCCUUCGGUUUGUAAAGUAUGUUCAUCGGGGAGGCGUUACCCGCAGAAGAAGCAACGGCUAACUCCGUGCCAGCAGCCGCGGUAAUAC